CACUCGCAAGGCUGAAAUGGUUGCAGUUAAAGCUUUUUCUGACUGUGUAACAAUUGAACUAACUUGUGAUUUCUUUUCUUCGGUAACCUCUUUCUCUAACUUUGGUAGGUUCGUCUUUGAUCUGAUCAUGUUAAGUCAUUGUCAGAUCAGCAUCUUCAUCUGCUCGUUUUCCAACACUAGGCAUGUUUAUCAAGGAUCUCUCAAUGACACCGUGGCACAAAUACACUCAGACGCAUCUGCAGCAAGCUGAGAUAAGGAGGGCUGGGUUUCCUUCUUCCUCUGAGCUCCAGGAGGGAAAUUAUAGCCUCUAAAGACACGUUGGGUCACAGACCUGCCUCGACUGCUGUCCACAAUGAUCCUCUACCUGCUCUUGCCUGCUUUUGUCCUCGGUACUGUGACAUCACAAUCAGCCAACAGUACAGUGGGACAGCUCGAUGAAGUUGGGAGGAACCAAACAUUCAACAGUACACUGAAACCAAAGAAUGUGACAUCCACAUUUUACGAAGAGAAGAAAUGGGUCGAGGA